rnacentral:tRNA from 1 species
GGGAAUAUAGCUCAAUUGGUACAGUGCUUGCCUCACAUGCACAAGGCCCUGGGUUCAAUUUCCAGCAUACCCC